UGUCUAAAAAUGACUACAAAACGAAGUUUGUUUGUGCGGUUGGUACCAUGUCGCUGUCUACGAGGGGAAGAGGAGACUGUCACUACUCUUGAUUAUUCUCAUUGCAGCUUAGAACAAGUUCCGAAAGAGAUUUUUACUUUUGAAAAAACCUUGGAGGAACUCUAUUUAGAUGCUAAUCAGAUUGAAGAGCUUCCAAAGCAACUUUUUAACUGUCAGUCUUUACACAAACUGAGUUUGCCAGACAAUGAUUUAACAACGUUACCAGCAUCCAUUGCAAACCUUAUUAAUCUCAGGGAACUGGAUGUCAGCAAGAAUGGAAUACAGGAGUUUCCAGAAAAUAUAAAAAAUUGUAAAGUUUUGACAAUUGUGGAGGCCAGUGUAAACCCUAUUUCCAAGCUCCCUGAUGGAUUUUCUCAGCUGUUAAACCUAACCCAGUUGUAUCUGAAUGAUGCUUUUCUUGAGUUCUUGCCAGCAAAUUUUGGCAGAUUAACUAAACUCCAAAUAUUAGAGCUUAGAGAAAACCAGUUAAAAAUGUUGCCUAA
rnacentral:circRNA from 1 species